AAGAGCAAGGUGGGAGUUUGCAAACUGCUGCGAUUCUGUCUCAGAGAAAGUAUUUAUUGACAGCAAUUAAUUCUCCACUUCCAUUAUCCCACCCCCUUCCCUUCUUGUCCCUUAUCCUCUGGCUACAGUGCACCAGGGUGGAGUUCUGAUUUUUUUUAAGAAGCCAUGAAUGAUCUGGGAAGGGUUAUUAUUUCCAGCCACUAAGCAUGUCCCUGCCCUAAAAGGGAGGAAGGAGGAGUUUCAAGGGGCUGUCCUUUAUAAAACAAAGUCAUUUUUUUCAGAAGAAAGUUGAAUGCAAUUGACCACCAGAUGGGAUGUUGUAGCAAUGAAGUAAUGAUGUUAAAAUAUGUUCCUGCUGAACACAAGUCAUCUAGAGGGGAAGACCGGCUUGAUUUUGAUCAGUGGGAUGAACAGCAGAGAUGUCGAAUUUGGGUGCCACAGUUUAAAUCAGCUAAUUUUCCAUGUUGAGACGAAAUAAAUUGCACGACAGACCAGUCAAUUAUUUUGCAUUAAUGAUAGACCUCCAGUCUAUAACAGGACUUGAACAUGGGGAAACUUUAUCCAUUUCGCUGCUGUAGUAACUGACGUUGUGUCUUGUACGAGAUGGUUACAUUUUGAAGAGCCCUGGAAACAUCAUGAAUUAUUUCUUAACAUGUAUGUCCAACUUUGCACUACAAUGCAAGUUAUGGCUAUUCCGGAUUUUGGAACUCUUGUGACCAGCAGCUGGAGAAGAGUUAAUUUCCUGGAUUCAAACUCGGGCCAAGGAAGCUUUGGCAUGUUCCAAUGAAAACAUAAUGCUGUGACAUCUACACCGCUCUCCCCCCAACUCACCCAGUAUAAUGAUUUCCUCUAAAUUAUCUAUUGUAUCUCAGUAAGCAAAACGUUUUUAAAUUGUCAAUCACUUUUUUUUGGUGUCUGCAUCAGCAAUCAAUAACUGAAAUUAUUUACUAGUCAAAAUAGAAUUCCAUCUGAAAAUUCAUUAGCAAGAGCGGGCUUUCAAUAUAAUGAUUGUAAAUAGAAAAGAGGAGGUCCAGAUUACUGACGUGGUGUCUUACGAUGUUUUAAGUAAGAUUUAGAAACAAAUGCUUUUUCAUACUUCCCUGUAAUGAGCUAUGACAUAUGGGGCUGAAUGUUCCCAGCAACAGUGGGAAGCUUGAAGGCAAGAUGCAGGUCAGGAAAGUGGAGGAAAACCCCUUUGGGCCGAUACCCAUCGCAUUUCUGCUUUCAGCAGCAGCCAGUUGAAAUCACUAAAACUCCAAUGAGGAGUGGUUUUGUUGUGUAACCAUUCUUUUGCCGGAACAGCAUGGCACUGUGGUGAUGUAGGAAGGGCACAAUGAAGGCAGUGUCCCUUCAGAGGCUGAGGGCAGGCCCUAAUUGGAGACUCCACACUCCAGUGACAUCCUCCAUGGGCAGGUGAAACUGCACCUAGGGCCCAAACUACUUACUAGCUGGAAGCAGCACACCUCCACUAUGAAGGUCCUGACAGCUUCAUUCUGCAGAAUGUUUUAUGUGCAUUCGUGUUUGCUAUGGGCGUCUCCAACAUGCCUCAAUGACAUCCACCUCUCUUGGUGGGGCUGUCAAUCCAGGUAUUCUAUUUUGGGUCUGUAGCAUUGAGACCCUGCAUACUAACCUGAAUAGCACAGUGAAAUGGCUCCAUACUGGGUACUGCUGGUAAAUGCAGACUUGGGACCACAAUUUGUUCCUGACAUUGUGGCCCCAAAGCCUCAGGAAAGCUCAGCCGAUAGCACAGAUUAGCAAUGAGUAAAAGAAGGUAUAAGAUAAAUCAGCAUAAGGCAAUCGAGAGCCAGAAUGAUAUCUUGAAGUCUUAGAUCUAGCGAAGGAAGGGAAGUAAAUAAUUCCCGAGUACUGAAAUCCUGUCAAAUAAUUAAAUGGAGCAAGAAUCAAUAAAUUUAACACCUGACACAGUUGAGAGGACAUGCUAGAGUUGGAGCUACAGAGAUGUAAGACAAGAAAAUUUAUACAAGGUCAAGGGAGAUUAUAAUGAGAAGAGAGUUUAGGGGAUAGAGGUCAUUGAAAGUAUGCCUUGUCUUAUACCCAAUCCAGAAGGGAAUGAGAGGAAAUUCCCAGCAUUUGUAAACAGAGUUGAUGGCUAAAGUUGUGGUGGGGAAAGAGAUGUAUUUGGUAUGAAAGAAGAAGCAAAGCAUCUUGUGGACAACAUCAGCCAUACAGGAGGGUCAUCGUUGCACUUGCCAUUAACCAAUAAAAUAAGAAGAGUAGAAUUGUCAAGUUUAAAAGAUCAAAAUCAUUUCCUAUAUGGACUGAAGUUACAGGAUCAAUAGAAUGUUGUAGUGGGUGAUUUGGCAGCAAAUGAGUUGGUGUGCGAUCUUAGAAUAAACAAUAAUGGCCAAUGAAAUGGGGUCAUUUAAGAGAAUGCUGGACAUGCAUAUGGUCACAGAAAUUUGAGGGUGCAUACAUGAGGUUCAAUGGUCGGCACAACAUCGUGGGCUGAAGGGCCUGUUCUGUGCUGUACUGUUCAAUGUUCUAUGUUCUAUGAAAUGGAACAGCAGCACAGUUGAUGGGAGAACAAACCAACUACAGGACAAGUAAAAUUGAGGUGAGGGAAAGAUCUAUUUUGUAUGAAAGAAGAAGCAAAGUAUUUUGCAGGCAACUUCAGCAACAAAUGGGGGUGACAAGAUAAAAUAAAAGCGGAAAUGUGUCUUAUAAGGGCAGGUCUAGACAUCUUUAAAUUGUGUCAUUUUUAAACUUGAGAAACAUUGUAAAAAAAAACUCUUAAAUACACUCGCAUUACAUUGGAUCUGGCUCCAAAGCGUCUGGAAAGUUUCUCGUCAACUAUUUACAAAGAUAUCAAGUACAGCAGGAGUAGUCAGGCCAAAUAUAUGGGCAAAAAGCAUGUGAGUGCAGGGAGACUGAACCAUGCUCACACAUCAUUCAGUGCCAUAAAACAUUUUAAAACUUUGUACCAGUCUGAGAACAGGACUUACCUGAAACAGCUUUCGUCUCCAGAAAACUAUUAUCUGAACCUUAACCUUGCUUCACUAUGCAAACUGUAGAUUGUAAUUCACUUGUAGUACAUCACUACUAACUUAAUGUUACAAUUCCUUCAAUGCUGGGUCCAACAAGACAAUUAUGUUUGCUAUUAAAGCACUGUUCCACUUCCGGGUCUGCUAAAAAUAAACCUUUAUUUGGUGAAAUUUAAAAAAAAAGCACUGGAAAAACUCAGAAAAGACAUCAAUCUGGAGUGGGCGUUCACAGUUGAAUAAAGGUAAGUCCUGACUGAAAACAAAGGAAUCAAAACAAGGGUGGCAUGGUGGCUCACUGGUUAGCACUGUUGCCUCAUGGCAUUAGGGACCAACGUCCAAUUCCAGUCUUGAUAUCUAUCUGUGUGGAAUUUGCAUGUUCUGCCUCUGUCCGUGUGGGUUUCUUCCCACAGUCAAAAUAUGUGCAGGUUGGGUGGAUCGGCUGUUCUAAAUUGUUUGUAGUGUCAAGAAACAUGCAGGCUAGCAGGGUUAAUUAUGGGAAAUGCAGAGUUACUGCAUUUGAGCAGAGAGAUGAGCAGAGAGAUGUGUCUGGGUCUGAUUCUCUUUGCAGGAUCGAUGCAGACUCAAUGGGCUGAAUGGCCUCUUUCUGUAGGGAAGCUAUGAUUUUAAGAAGCAGAUACUGGGGGUAAAAAUGGUGAGCAGAGUUCAUGAUGUGACAGUUUUGAUAUACCAACCCACCCUCGCUGGCAUGUGUAUUUGGUUUCCAAAAGGUGAAAUUGACACCUCAAUUCCAUCAAGAUUUUUGGAGGAAUAUCCACUGCAAUUGCCCUUAGCAACGUCAUGGUACAGUAGCCACAAACGCACACUGUCACAGCAUGUAACUGGCAUGGCUGUCACUCCUACACACAAACGGUCUCUCUCACACUUGUUGUUGUUUAACCACCAGCUCCGCAGUUUACCAGCCCAUAGCUACAUCCUGUGGAAACAUCUUCCUCAGGUCAUUGUUAGCUAGGACCCAAUGCCCACUGUAGAUCCACUGCUUGCCACUGUCAACUUGGGGACCAUCACAUACAAGCAACUGGAUAAACUUGAAACCUGAGCUUUUAUUUGCAAUAAAAGCUAAAAGGGAACACAACCGAAACCAAUAGAGACCGAAACAAAAAUAGAAAUUGCUGGAGAUUCUCAGCAAUAGAGGCUGAUGUUUACCCCAACAAUGCAAACCAGAUUUCAACAUCAUGACCAAAGAUUAUCGAACAUUCCAUGAUGGUCAGAUGAAUCCAACUCACAUCUACUGGACCGAGUCAGUCAGACCCUGUCUGGCUGGGAAUGCCUGACACAUGAGAGCUCUGUCAACGACAAGGAGGGCUGGAUUAUAUUGGAGGGCCAAACAAUAGAACUACAUCUUCAUCAGGCCCAUCACCUGCUCCACCAUAGCCCAGGUUGAGGAAUGCACUUCAGUUAUGGGUUUCCCAGCAGUGUCAUCAGCUGUGGUUAUAGUUGGUACCCCUGGUCUCUCAGUAGCCAGCUUUGUAAGCCCCUGGGCCCUCAAAUACACAGGUCCAUGAGAGUGCUCCAGAUGUAGGAAUCACACCAGCUGCCAGGCUGACAGGCUCACAUGUCCAGGAAGUGGCUGCAGUGAUCACAGAUCACCUGGACAUUAAUCAAAUGGAACCCCUUCCUGUUGGUGAAUUCCACAGUGUCGUGAUAUGGCACUCUCAGUGUCAUUGUGCAUAAAAUCAAUGGCAUCCUGUAAACUCAGAGAUGUCAGCCACAUUUCUGAAUCCUACUGCCUGGGCUGCAGCAUUGAUCUCAUCAUUCGGCAGCUAAGAGUGUCAAUGUGGUGUCACCCAGAUGGCAUCAGCCACUGUUCUGAUGUAUUUGUGGGUAUAUGACUGAGAGAUGCCAUUUGGCUCACCUGUCGCGCCCUGGAAGGAACCAGUUGCAUAAAGCUUUAUAGCUGUCAUUACCCUCACAGCCGCUCAGAGAGGAUGGACUGUAACAGCUGCAGCCCUCAGCACGCCUCCUACAGCUUCCCACUGCUGCAGCCAUCAGGUCCCUCUCCAGCAUCCAAGGUUCAGUUACAGUGUCCCACUACCUUGUCGAUUUUCGGAAAAAUCCAUCUGGUUCACUCAUGUCCUUUAGGGAAGGAAACGGCCAUCCUUACCUGGUCUGGACUACAUGUGACUCCAGAUCCAUAUUAAUGCAGUUGACAUUUAACUGCCCUCUGGGCCAUUGGGAAUGGUCAAUAAAUGCUGCCUAGCCAGCAACACUCUCAUCCCAUGAAUGAACAAAGGAAAAAUAAUACAUACAGAGUUUGUGUUAGCACUGUACCUCACUUCUUCCCAGCAAAGAGUUGUACCCAAUGAAACUCUAGGCUUCUUGAAUACUGCAAACAUUCCUAGGGGUCCUACCUCUGCAACCGCCUGUUGAAUUCUAAUCCUCCACACCAGCCUGAUGCUGUUGGGUUUGCCGUUGGCCCUGGUCUUCCUGCAACCAUAUUCAACUUUGUAGGUAGGCAGCCACAGUAAACCAUCAUUGCAACCAGUGGCAGGGCUUGGUGGAAAUGGUAACAGAAGGAGUGAACGAGGUUCUCUGAACUUCGAGCAGUUAUAGGUGGCCCACUACACAGAUGGGGGCUAAGCAUACCCCUCUGUACAGUGAGACAUGCAGCACUCUGAGAAUGUCCAUAUUCAGGCUCAGCUUGUACGGUAACUUGGUGAAGAUGCCAACCAAUGUCACCAAGAAGGAAGUGACUGCAGUGAUCUGACACCCUUGUCUCACCCACAUUCAGUACAGACUAUUGUCAAACUAUGUGACAGAUUAUCUGUCAACAUUGUGUGGUCUGCACAGGAACCUUGGAAGUUGCACACAGACUGGAUCCCUUUCAACCAGUAUUGGCCUUCUGUAACAUCCUUGUUGCUAACAUCCAAAUCAUUAAGGUGCCCAAGUUCAAUUUGCAAGAACCAAUGGCAUGUUGCAAAUUACCUUUGAGCAGCAUCUGACCCCCAGUACCUACACUUCACACGCAUACAAUGUUAGGUGAGUUUGGUAAAACAGGAAACUGAAUAUUCACGAGGAGAGUUGGGCUGUCAGCAAGGUAUUUAAUAAGCCAGAAUCCCCCUUAAUUGGCAAUUUGCUGCUGCCUAGUGUGAAACUCGACACAAAAAUUUGAAACCAUGAAAGAUUGAACAAGGUGAUCUGGACUUCUCUGAUUGUGUCACACAUCUUACCAUAUCCUAUGUCACUCAGAUUCUACCCCAUGUUUUUGUUUUCAGGCAAAACUGAACUUUAUUCUGCGCUUAACACCUACUCAGAAUCUUUUUUUUAUAUUUUCUCUUCAAUCAUUACUAUUUUUGUUCAGUGUACCUUUGAUUUCUAAUCUCCCUCACCCUCUAACCUGACCUCACCUUGCCUUUCAGUUGAUCUUCCUGGAUUUCUACAGAAUAAAAAAAAAUCACUUUCCAUAUGUUUUCAGUUCCAAGGGAGAGUUACACUGGACUCAAAGCAUUAACACCUUCUCUUUCUACAGAUGCUCCCAGACCCAUAGUUUCUUCAGCACUUUCUUUAUUUUAGAUCUCCUAUAUUCACUUUGUUUAACUUUUGCUUUGUUUGGUAAAUUCAGGGAAACAGGAUGGCUGGGUUUUACCACACAACUGUAUUUUUAAGUGAAAUGUUUAGUUAUUAACGCAUUUAAUGUUUACAAGUAUUUACAGCACAUGAACAGGGCAAUCCAUUUGUGCUUGACGCAAGCCUCUCAGUCCCUUCAUAUCCAGGAUCAAGGUUUGAACAGUGCCAUGAACAAGAGAAAUUCACCUCUCUGGUAGUUCUGUAGAACCUAAACUGAAACAUGUUUUAAUUGAUCCACUAGCUUGCUCAAAAUCUUAUGUCCAUAGUUCAUACAUAUUCAUAACUUUGAAUCCUCGUCCAAAAAUAUCAAGCCUUUUCCGAAGUGGAAGUCACUGAUGUUUUAAAGCCAGAAUUCUUUCUCAUAAAAUUUUCAAAAAGCUGUUUGCUUAUAUUUGGAAAAAGUGAAAUAGGCAAACAAAAUGUCAUGUUCACAGCUAAUAGUCUGACCUUCCCAAUGCAUGAUUUUGACUUGAAUCCCACUGAUGUGGUUUGUUUUCAUUGGGCACCAAAGUCUUUUGCAUCUCAAGAUUGGUCGGACAGAUGAUCUAUUGCGCUCUACUUGAUGAGAAAACAUUUUCCCAGUCAUUGUCAGUUAAAGCUUGUUAAGUUCUUGGGAAACUUAUUGGAAGUGGGAAAGUGGUCCAUAUCUGAGAGUUAAAAUUCUCCAUGUUGAUGACGAUGAAAUGUCCCCAAAAUAUAGCCUGAAGUUUUUAUGAAAGCAUAUUUAUAUUGUCCUUUGUUGUUUCGAGGUUUGAGUUUUCAAAAUAUUUUUUAGAGGCCAGGUGGGGAUCUAGUUGGGGGUGGGAUUUUUUGCUGCCUGCAUUGUUACCUAUCGCUCUCAAUUACGGUCGCAAUGAAGCUGAACUUGGUGAUGUAACUGGAGACAAGGAGCUGCUGAAUAUGUCUACCCAGGGCUUGUUGACCACUCCAGCCAAAUAGCACAGAGCAUAACUUACUUGUGUUUCAUGAAGGAGGAAUCAUUCAGAACUCCGAGUCUCUUUUAACAUGCAUUUGGCACAGUAGAUUUUGUUCCUGGGCUUUUAUAAGCAUCCUUUGAUUGAUAGGAUGACAGUCAUUGCUUAGGCUCACACUGGGCACUUAGAGGCUGCACAAGCUGUAAUUUAUUUAUAACUGUAAUAAGAGAUUUUUUGAUUUAAUAAUGGAUAGCAUACCUCUGAAAUAUACUUUGAAACUGGCUUCUAUAAUUUGUUUUUAUCUCUGUGAGUGCUUUGUUUUGUUUGGAGUGUCUGAACAUGAAAUAAAACAAAAUUCUAAAUAUUGAAAACACAGUAAUGAAGGAUGACUGACAGGCCCCAGCAAAUGUGCAAAUCUAAUAGUUAUUGCUCUUAAUAACAUUUGAGUGCUACGUGGCAGCUGAACUGAACAUCAUCCCUCCAUAAACUGCAUGCUCCGAACCACUUUCUAAUCUAGCGCUAUAGAUUAAUGAAUUUCUCCAAUCCAAUGUCAGAGAAAUAAAACAUUUCAAGGGUGGUUUGUACCUAAUGAGAACAAUUAUUAAAAGCUCUGAAGAGCUCAUUGCAGUCUCUUUACCAGGAAGGUUAUGACACAAUUUUUUUGAGUGAGAAGGUUUCCUUGCCUCAGUCAGAUUGGAACCAGAGUGUUGAUUCUAGAAGUCCUGCCCCCCAAGCUCACAGUUCUCACUGAGGAGAAGAGAGUAUUAGGCUGGGAGGUAUUUCAUACAUCCACAGUUGUUGGUGGCCACAGUACUUUUAAAUGUGCAACUGCCUUGACUCAGAGGUGAGUUUCAUCACCUAAAUUUCUGAAAAAUAAUCUGUGGGCUUUAGACAUUUGAGGAAAGUUCUAAAUCUACCAGACACCUUGAGGAGGUCAGGUGAUCCUUUGGGGAGCUCAGGUAUAUGUUUGGAGAGGUCUGGGUAACCUCUGGAGUGGUUAAAGUACCUCUUCAGGAUUAUUAACAACAGACAAUGAUGUGUAUAAAAGCUGUGUGGAACAAUCAAUUUGUUUAAAUCACCUUCCCUUUAAAUUUUGAUCAAAAAAUGCCUGCUGUGCGAAAAAGCAAAGUGGCUUGCAAUUUCAUUAGCUAUUUGUUGACACAGACUUGUGGAUCAUCAUUUUAGCUUUACUGCUUCUAUACUGCUUUCACAAUGCAUCUUAUCACAGUGGGGGGCCUGUAGAUACACAUGUUGAUUGUAGGCUCCAAGUAAAUAUAAAGGAAUUAAACGCCUUUGCUAUGAGGCUAUGAACAUACAUGUUUGCUUUUACAAGGGAUAAGUACUUUCACGGAAUAGUUCUUAACAGGUACUUUGACUUUAAAUCAAUAUGUGUCCUGUGAUCUGUCUAUUGUAAACAUUUGUGAGUUGACAUGAGCAUGUGGGUGAAACAUGAUUUGACAUGAUUUGACACUAAGUUAGCAAAGUUAUUGGGCUAUGAAGAUGAGUGGGGGUCAUGGGUUGGUUUUAACUUGGCACAGAUUCUGAGAAUCCAUAUAGGAGUAUGGGAGUGAGUACAGAGGCAUGAGUUGGUAUGACGCAGCAAGGAAAGUGUGAGGAAUGAGGGCUAGAGGAAGAUAUUGUUUCUAUUAUAAUGAGGAUGGAAGCCCAGAGAACUGAGGUGGGUUUUCUAAACUGCCUACCUCAGUACUUGCUGUGGCUGCCUGUGCACUGUUUUUAAGGGUGGCAAGACUGAUUCCAGUUGGUGCCUGUACCCAGGAUGAAAAUCCGAUCAUCUGAGAAAGUUUCUCACCAGUCAGAUUUAGGGAACUGGAAAAUUUUUGACACUUUGCACCUGACUCUGGAUCGAAAAUUGAGCCAUAUGUCUCAGUGUUUUCAUCUGAUGUAUUAACAAAAAUAUUAACUUAAGAGAUUUGUUUUUGAACUGAAGUAAUUUUCUGUAAUUAUGUGCAAAACAUCUUUAUAUUCCCAUAACCAUGUCAACAGUAAGAAAGGAUCCUUUUCUCACUAUUCACAUUGUGUAAGUGAAUGCAAGAACUUUACCAAAAAAAUAAAUAAACGCACGAGACUAUAAUCUACAUAUAAAGAAGAGUAUGCAUAAGACUUUGCUACUUACAGUCUAGCAAACCAUGAUUGGUGAAAUUGCUGACUGAUGCUAAAUACUCAAUUAUGUUACAAAACUCGGUCAGUCACAUUUUUGUCCCACUGAAAUUUAAUCUAAUUUCACCUUAUCCAGGAACUCCUUCGCAAAUAGUACUCAGCACAUGACAUGGACUGCAGCAGUUUGAGAAGGCUUCACCACCAUUUCUCAAGGGCAACUAAAGAUAGGCAAUAAAUGCCCACUUUACCAACAGCACUCUCAUCCCAACUAGUAGAAAUAUAGUCCCCACAAGAGGAAUAACCUCGGAAUUAGCUUGUGCAAAAUUAUUAUUUAAAUAUUAACCUCUAUUUAAAUAGCAGACAGAAAUUAGAUGGAAAGCUGCAUCAAUCAUAGGUUAAUGUAUUUUUCAAUCUGGCACAGAGGUGAACUAAGGUACAUAGAUUACAAAUAUUAGUACAGGCACAAAAAGCAGAUAACUAUUGUAAGGAAUUUGUCCUUCAGUAGGAGCAUACUGUGAA